rnacentral:rRNA from 1 species
CAACAGGGAUUGCCUCAGUAACGGCGAGUGAAGCGGCAACAGCUCAAAUUUGAAAUCUGGCCUUCGGGUCCGAAUUGUAAUUUGUAGAGGAUGCUUAGGGUGUGGCUCCGGUCUAAGUUCCUUGGAACAGGACGUCAUAGAGGGUGAGAAUCCCGUAUGUGACUGGCAGCCUUCGCCCGUGUUAAGCUCCUUCGACGAGUCGAGUUGUUUGGGAAUGCAGCUCUAAAUGGGUGGUAAAUUUCAUCUAAAGCUAAAUAUUGGCCAGAGACCGAUAGCGCACAAGUAGAGUGAUCGAAAGAUGAAAAGCACUUUGGAAAGAGAGUUAAACAGUACGUGAAAUUGUUGAAAGGGAAGCGCUUGCAAUCAGACUUGCGCGCAGGUAAUCAUCUGGGGUUCUCCCCAGUGCACUUGCCUGCGCUCAGGCCAGCAUCAGUUUUGGCGGCUGGAUAAAGGCCCUAGGAAUGUAGCUUCUCUCGGGGAGUGUUAUAGCCUAGGGUGCAAUGCAGCCUGCUGGGACUGAGGACCGCGCUUCGGCUAGGAUGCUGGCGUAAUGAUUGUAAGCGACCCGUCUUGAAACACGGACCAAGGAGUCUAACAUCUAUGCGAGUGUUUGGGUAUCAAACCCAUACGCGUAAUGAAAGUGAACGGAGGUGAGAACCCUUAAGGGUGCAUCAUCGACCGAUCCUGAUGUCUUCGGAUGGAUUUGAGUAAGAGCAUAGCUGUUGGGACCCGAAAGAUGGUGAACUAUGCGUGAUUAGGGUGAAGCCAGAGGAAACUCUGGUGGAGGCUCGUAGGGGUUCUGACGUGCAAAUCGAUCUCAAAAAUUGCGUAUAGGGGCGAAUACUCAGUCUUUCGCUCCCCCCGCAGGCCUGCCACGGCAGGCUGACAUCUCUAGCAUGCUGGGAUUUUUAGCUAAAUACCAGCAGCCCUUCCCAGGGUUCACAGAUCAGAUGGAGAUGGCUCCGGCGCGCUGGAGUUAAGAUAUGAUCGGAGCGGAUUGUGACCAAUUCGUGCCUAAUCGAAGACUAAUCGAACCAUCUAAUCCAACUACUGGAUGGGAUAUGACAUGACUUGUAGUCUGGCGCGCCAGGCAACACUACCACUGUGCGGGUAUGCCGAGAGGCUACCUGCAGCCCUGUUUCCGGGGUUCACAGACUAAACGGUAGUGGCCCUCCGGGGUUCUGAUAUAGCCGAUUCCCGCUG